rnacentral:rRNA from 1 species
UGGGGAAUAUUGCACAAUGGGGGAAACCCUGAUGCAGCGACGCCGCGUGAGUGAAGAAGUAUUUCGGUAUGUAAAGCUCUGUCAGCAGGGAAGAAAAUGACGGUACCUGACCAAGAAGCCCCGGCUAACUACGUGCCAGCAGCCGCGGUAAUACGUAGGGGGCAAGCGUUAUCCGGAUUUACUGGGUGUAAAGGGAGCGUAGACGGCUGUGCAAGUCAGAAGUGAAAGCCCGGGGCUCAACUCCGGGACUGCUUUUGAAACUGCAGAGCUGGAGUGCAGGAGAGGCAAGCGGAAUUCCUGGUGUAGCGGUGAAAUGCGUAGAUAUCAGGAGGAACACCAGUGGCGAAGGCGGCUUACUGGACUGUAACUGACGUUGAGGCUCGAAAGCGUGGGGAGCAAACAGG